UAAAAACUUCCGUUUCUCUUUGGAAAAUAACCAUUUUUUUUUUAAUUUUCCUUUUCUCUCUCCACUGCGAUUUUUAUUUAAGAAAAAUUUUGGAGAAACUGCGUCAAAUUUCGUUCCUCAAGGGCUUGCUGUAAAGUUUUUUUUCAGGCGUUAGCUCGGUUAGGAAAUAGAUAAUAUUAGUAAUGAGCACUCAGAACAGUAGGAGUGGUGUAAGAAGCUACCGCCGAAGGAAGGUUGCAUUGAACUUAGACCUUAAUAGUGUACCACCCGGUGAUAAUCGGAAUCAAGAAGGAACUUCAAUUCAAGUGGGAACCCAGAACACGCAAUCUAGGCAACAAGGGAACUCUGUUCCUCCUCCUAUGAUUGAUGUCGAGGCCAUCGAUGAUGAUGUCAUUGAAUCUUCGCCGAGGGCUUUUGCUGCGGCUAAAAACAAUAGAAGAGCCCGUGGAAGGACUAUUGUUGAUGUAGAGUCAGAAGAACGUAAUGGGGUUGGUCGCGGUAAUCACAAGUGCAGAAGAGCUUCACCAAAUCAAGUCGUUAUCAAUUGUGAUUUGUACGUAAACUUGGAAAGUAGUGGCAGCUCCAUGGCAGAGAAUGCCAAGAAGCCGCCACCACCACCAAAAGAGCCUACAUUUACCUGUCCAAUUUGUAUGGGCCCACUGGCCGAGGAAACAUCAACAAAAUGUGGUCAUAUUUUCUGCAAGGCAUGCAUUAAGGCCGCGGUUAAUGCUCAGGGUAAAUGCCCUACCUGCAGGAAAAGAGUUACUGCAAAAGAACUAAUUAGGGUAUUUCUUCCGGCAACCAGUUGUUAGCUCAUCUCUGGGAUAACUCGUGGUGUGUCUUUAUAGUCACUCGAAUGCCAUGCACAAAUUCGUGAAGAAAUGAUCAUUGAAAAAUAUAUUAGUUUUUAUUACAGUUGUAUUAACCUUCAAGCAACUGUAUUAAAAAUAUGCGAGAGAUCAUUGAGGAUGUUACUAUGUUACUGUGUUUUUGUUCGCCAUAAAAAAGUUCUUGGGAUUGAGUUUUUCGCAUUUGAGAGGACGAAAGAAUUGGUUUUUCCUGUCAUCAGAAUUGAGUUGUUUCCAUAUUUGUCCAUCUGAAUAUUGUGCAGGAAACUAAUCUAAUGACAAUAGUAGUUUUCCAUAUUGAACAAUACUUAGUGCAUUUUAAAGUAAAAUUCCUAAAUGAAAUAUGCCAA